rnacentral:sRNA from 23 species
GCGAGACAGUGGCCCGCCGGUCGAGUGCGACAGAUAAACUGUUCACGGUCGACGCCAGGCGCAGCCCAGCGCCGACCGUAAAUGAUCAGCCAGCAGCCGCUGCAACCACAGGGAG